rnacentral:lncRNA from 1 species
GGAGCCGCGCGCACGUUGCUGCCGGGACCCGCCGCGGCGAUGAGCAGCUGCAUCUGUCGAGGCCGCUUAGUCCUUUUCCGUCGGUGGAGACGCUGGGACCCGGGCCUGGGACACGUGGGCGCCCAGGGCCUCGCCGCAGCGCAGCGCCCGAGACGCACAGGUGUUGGAAAAUCCCCACUGAAUGAAUCAAAAAAAAAUUAAACGUAUCCUGGGAACAUGCCGUUCAGGGUUUUGGAAUGGGAACUUCAAACGAAGUUGGUAAAGGAGUCAAAUGCGUGCAAGGUUGGCCCUGUUUGUGACAUCUUGGUUCUGUGAAAUGACCAGAAGUUGGGCUGAAUCCUGGAAAUGUGGGAUGAAAAUGCCUCAGUGUUGGCAGAGAGUCUGGUUGCUGAGCUGCUGGAUAAGCAUCGGCCGGGUUCCCCCAGAGAGCCACCGGUCGCGGCCAUGGUUCCUCCAACAGGUCAGAACCCCCAGGUGUUCCAAGGGGGCUUGGGGCACCACUGUCAAGCUAACUCCAAAGGCAGAGGUCUGAACCCUUAGCGUGUUUACAUUUGUGGAGAGGAGCUGGGGGCCUGCGGGAAGUGGUCAGACAGGAGAAGCUGGCUGGCUCUUGACUUCAAGAAGGAAAGAGAAGGGGCGCCUGGGUGGCUCAGUGGUUGAGUGUCUGCCUUUGGCCCAGGGCGUAAUCCUGGGGUCCUGGGAUCAGUCCCACAUGGGGCUCCCUGCAUAGAGCCUGCUUCUCCUUCUGCCUGUGUCUCUGAUUCUCUGUGUCUCUUAUGAAUAAAUAAAUCUUUAAAAAAUAUGUAAUUGCCA